rnacentral:rRNA from 1 species
UACGUAGGGGGCAAGCGUUAUCCGGAAUCAUUGGGCGUAAAGCGCGUGUAGGCGGUUCCGUAAGUCCGCUCUGAAAGCCCAGGGCUCAACCCUGGGAGGCGGGUGGAUACUACGGAACUGGAGUACGGAAGAGGAGAUUGGAAUUCCUGGUGUAGCGGUGAAAUGUGCAGAUAUCAGGAGGAACACCAACAGCGAAGGCAGAUCUCUGGGACGUUACUGACGCUGAGACGCGAAAGCGUGGGGAGCAAACAGG